UCAACAGAGUUUGAUGGCUUGCAUGGCCAAUAGACUGCAUUAUCCAAGGCCAGAGCCUCUGAGAGCUGCUUCUUCACUGGCACAACAGGCCAGAGCCUCUGAGAGCUGCUUCUUCACUGGCACCACAGAGGCCUUUUCUGGAUCUAUGAUGACAACAAGUAUCUGAGGACGUUGACUGACUUGUACAGAUGCGAGCUGAGGUCCAGAUAUGAGGUCCCCUUGAGACAAAUGAGUUUUUCAGAGCCUGGAAGGCACUCUUUGGUUUUGACAGGGGAUGGACACUUGUGCACAUUGUCUCCUUGACCCUAGAGUUUUACCCAACUGGCAGUGUUACCAGACCCAAAUUUGCCUAA